rnacentral:misc_RNA from 1 species
UGCUGUGGAAGCUGGCUUCCUGGAA